rnacentral:rRNA from 1 species
GAAGGCCCAUUCCGUGCCCGGCUAUUCCAGGUGCGGAAGGGGGCCCGACCUCGAAUCUCUCUCUGCGUACGACUCCCUGUUGCUUCCCCGGGAGGGCGACNUGCCACCCGGGGAAGGGCCCCCCCCUGANAGCACAACCAUGCCNACAAAUGCNCCUGUANAACUCACCACCCCGGCCGUCUGAUGCCCGGCGCACCGAUCAGGGCGCAGGGAGCCAGGACGUGGACCGCAAACGGAUAGAAAAAACUUUCAACAACNGAUCUCUUGGUUCCCGCAUCGAUGAAGAACGCANCGAAAUGCGAUAAGUAAUGUGAAUUGCAGAAUUCAGUGAAUCAUCGAAUCUUUGAACGCACAUUGCGCCCCCUGGCAUUCCAGGGGGCAUGCCUGUUCGAGCGUGUCCGAGAGGUAGGCUCACGCGUGUGAAACGCGUGGUUGUGGUGGCGGCGGCGGUCCCGACAGGGCGGCCAUCCCGGCGGAAUCGAUGGGCGGAUGCCUGCCGCUUCGCAGAGCGUGAUAUUCUUUGCUAUCGCCUCGAGGGCGGCGAGGUGUCCAGCCAGGGCAUCCAUGCACGGCGGGGAGAAUGUGACAUUGGAACUCCUCGAAUCAGGUAGGGAUACCCGCUGAACUUAAGCAUAUCAAUAAGCGGAGGAAAAGAAACCAACAGGGAUUGCCCCAGUAACGGCGAGUGAAGCGGCAGCAGCUCAAAUUUGAAAUCUGGGGCCCAUGGCCUCCGAGUUGUAAUUUGGAGAGGCAUCUUCUGGGGGGAGCGCCGGCCCAUGUUCCUUGGAACAGGACGUCACAGAGGGUGAGAAUCCCGUGCGAGGCAGGUGGCCUCCUCCCAUGUGGAGGGCCUUCGACGAGUCGAGUUGUUUGGGAAUGCAGCUCCAAGUGGGUGGUAAAUCUCAUCUAAAGCUAAAUACCGGCGGGAGNCCGAUAGCGCACAAGUAGAGUGAUNGAAAGAUGAAAAGCACUUUGAAAAUAGAGUCAAAAAGUACGUGAAAUUGUUGAAAGGGAAGCGCUCAGACCAGACUCGGGCCCGGGCAAACACCNCGCUCUUNGGGGCCGUGCAAUUGCCUGGGCCUGGGCCAGCAUCAGUUGGUGUGGCGGGACAAAGGGGCGGGCAACGUGGCUCCCCACGGGGAGUGUUAUUAGGCCCGCCCUCAAUGCC